CCCCCACUGGUCCCAGUGCCUUAUCGUGGCGUGGGGGUUACUGGAUGGUGAAUUCCAACCAGAUCGAAACUGGG
rnacentral:ribozyme from 1 species